ACCUUUCGAUAAGUCACAACCUUCAUUUUAAAAUGGACUUUUGUAUUUGUAUUUUGCUUGUGAGUAUGGUCUUGGUUAAAACUUCGCAUUCUAGCAUUUACUUAUAUGAUAUCAUAUAGCAAGAAAGCUAUGAGACCCAAGUCACAAUUUAUUGUAUUCUCAUAGACCCUCAAAAUACUAGAGCUAGACAAAGAUAAACAACACGAUAGAGAAACUUCUGCUUUACAUGUACAUUGACAUUUGCAUGUGCAAAGCUCUCUUUCCUCCUUUCCUUUCUUUUCUUCCUCACCUUUCGAAUCUUUCUCCUAGAUUAAGGAGAUUGUUGUUUUGUUGUUAGUGGUUGCCAUCAUCAUCACAUUGAAAUCAACUUUAGUUAAUACUAGCCUCCUGCACGCGCUCACGGGCGUGCGGAAGGCCCUUUUGUAAUUAAGGCAUUCUACGUGCGACUUAAAUAAUUUAAAUGAUAACAAAAGAGCGGUUGCUCUCUGAUCUAAUUGCAGACACAAUCUGCAGAACCGUCUUCUAUGGGAUUUGAACUUGUGAAGUGUGAGGUGGAGACCUGAAUGUAACAAAUUGGUGUUAAGUGAAUAAUUCCAAACAUAUAAAAUUUAGAUCAUCACACCGAACGCAAACAGAACAAUUAAAUAAACAACUGAAGGCAUACGCAAUCUAAUUAGACAAAUAAGUGAACUUUCCCAUGCCGAAAUCUGAAAGGCCAACAGAAAUAUCUCAUUACAGCACAGAAGACAAAACUUAGGACAAAACUUAAAACUAAUCAAACUUAGGUGAACCAAUUAUAGAGAACAUAACCCUUGUAACCAAUCGGGAAAAGAUGCUUUUAAAUCCCAGAAAAAAAAAUUAAGAGGAGUUUUUUAAAAAACCAUCAUUUCAAUUAUUUUCCAGUCUUACAUUUGGAUUAAACAGAAAAUAUAAGUAAAAAUGCCAACUUUCUAAAAAAACUACAACUAUUUUUACAAAUUUCCAUUACCCAAUGCUGAAAAAUGAGAAUCACGAAGCAAUGAAGAACGGAACACGCGAGAACCAAAAAGUUAAAAACAACACGUAACCAUUUCAAAGACCCAAAAUCCUGCAAGGACAAAAAAAUCCCAUAAAAUCAGUACAUCAGCACUCCCUGCAAAACCCCAAAAUCAGAAAAUUAUAAAAAGAACCCAAAAUCAGUGGCAUGGUCCUCGUUUCUCCAUCAUUCAGUAGCUAAUGACCUAAUGGAAAAGAACCCAAAACAUACAGCUUAAAAUAUGGAAAGUGCUUAUAAAAGCUCAUGAAUAACGUUCAAAGCCUGCAUAGAAAUGGUAUAGCGCAGAUAACAACAAACAAUAAAACUAUGCACAGUAUAACCUAAAUCCGAUAUGUUGCAUUCCCCACACACAGAUUGUUCAAAAUUAAUUUCGUCUCCGUCUUUUUUCAAAUCUGAUAAAAUCCCCAAAACACAAAAAAUAGCAGCUAACUAUUUUUUGAACUCUGUAAACAACGAUAUGCAUCUUAACCCAUUUAACAUAUUCAUAAAAUAACAUCAAACACAUUUAUGCAUGAGAUAAUAUAGAAGUGAAGUCUCACAACUUUCAUAAAAAAUUAUUACUUUGUUAGAGAAAGGCUUGAAAAAAUAUGUAAAUUACUCACCUCUAUUACAAAAAUGUUACAACAGUAGACAAAAAAGGCCAAAAAUACCAAAAGCCGCACCUCCUGAAAUAAAAAACAUAACCAAACGACACAUUCUCAGUAUCUAAACGAUAUCCAGAAAAAAAGAAAUGAACAGACGAAACCCAUGUAAAUAUACAGAACAAACCAAAAAAAAAAAAAAGAACUGAAGCCAGUAAGAAGAUCACAAAUCUGAUAAAGCAAAAGGUAACAUAAUCUAUAUCGAUUUAAUUAUCCAUCCAAAAAGACAUUUGAAUGAAGAACAUUUUUAAGGAUCCAAACAACCAUUAAACUAAACAAUUAAAAGUAAAAACAGCAAAGCAUUCAUUGAAGAAAUAUAUAUAUAUAUAUAUAUUAUAACGUAUUUUGUUCUUUAUACCUAAAAGAAAAACAUUGGCUUUCUUGUAUGCACUGAAGUAUGCAUGUGUCGGAAAUUUACAAUCUAUAGAGACUCAAUCUCAGACUCAAAAAGACAUCUAAAGGAAAAGUAAUAAGAAAAAUAAGUAGUGGUUUUACCUAUACUCCAUGUGUGGACUCCAAUUUUCAAUCACAAUUCAAAAUUCAAGAGGCCUAUAAAUCAACCACAUAGGAAAUGAUCAGUGGAAGAAAAAGAAAAACAACUGAAGCCAAAAUAGCAUCUAACAAAUCAUUUAGAACCAUCACAGAAAACAAUUUUUGCAUAUAAGUAAUUUAAAGGAAUACCAUCAGGUCAUGCAUAUAUACAACGUACCCAAUUAGAUAAGUAGCACAUCAACAAUUGAUGAUCAAAAAGUUAGUCAGCCUCAAUUGCUUGAAUCUAAUUAACUCAAAGAUAAUAAACAGUCCAUUUAAUGCACGGGCUGACUAUCAAUUUUAUAAAGCUAUAAUUCUGUGCAGUUCAAAAACCAAGUGGAAGAAUAGGCAAAAACUAUCUCAUCGCCUGUAAAUGUAAUUAACUAAAUAUUAAACUUCACAGCCACAAAUAAACCUAAAUUCCUCCUAAAACUAUCUCAUUUAAGCUUGAUUUUACUAUAAUCUAUAAGUGUGGUAAAAAAUGGGAGGCCAAACGAUUUGUUAACAAAAAAGGUAGACAUAAAAGUAAAAGGAACAGGGCAGACAUUAGUUGAGGAGAAGCUAAUGUCACCUUGAAUUGACGACAAACAGUUCUUAUCUUCUCGAAUUAACGAAGAUAAGUACCAUUUUUCUUUAAUUCAAGGUAAUAUAAAAAGAAAUUAUACCUGUACAGUGUUCAGAUGUAGCAAUCCUAUGCAAUCGGCCAAAUGAUGUGUGUCCUCUCAAAGAUCUGUAUAUCCAUUACAGACUAAUCUUCAGUCUUGCAGAAAAUGAUAUGUUGACUACAAUUUCCCAUACUACUAAAAAACACAAAUAAUUCUAUCUACAAACCAAAUAAUAUGUGCAACUUUAUGCUACAAUGGUAGAAUAAGAUGGUUGUACAGGACGACACAAAGAUUGAGACUUUUUUUUACUUCUAAAAUUCUACACACUUUCGAGCCCUAAAUUUUCCCGGAAACAAAAAAAAGUGAAAGAAGUCGUACCUGGUUUGAGAGAGUGGGACACCAUCGGCGAGUUUGGUGUAGCAGUGAUGGCGGAGAUCUCUGGUGAGAAAGCUAAUAAGAUGGACAAAAUCAUUGAACAAAAAAAACCUCGCUUUUUAAAAUUAAAGUCAACAAAAAUUUGAACAAAGAAAAGAGAACUCAAACCCGAAACAAAUAAGUCGGAGAACUCGCCAGGAAACCCAAAGUUUCUGCAGGAUUGGCGAUUUCCUGAAAACCAAGCUUUUGUAGGUUUAAAAUUUCUUCCCUAAGGCAACAGAUCCAACAUUCCCAACUUUAGCUAUUUCAGCUACAUAAUAGAAAGAAAAAAAAAUUUAUAUAAUUAACUAAUCUGAUUUAAGAUUAAUCGAAAAGCUUGGAAAUUUCAGCUUUAAAAUUACAUGUCAGGCUGCAAAUCUAAUAAAAAGCGUAGAAUUUUAAAAAUGCUGACCUUAAAUACAGAGGCCUUCGCAGGCUGCAAAGAAGCGUUAGAAACCCGAAAAACCGGAUCUCCUGAAACCAAAAACAAAACCAAAUUAACCAUCAUCACCCAUAAUUCGAAGCCACAAACAUAAUCCCCAAAAUUACAACCCAAAAAUUUAAACAAAAAAACCCAUUUAUAAAUCCAAAUUUACACUCCCAAGUGCAAGACUCUAAGCUCCAACUGUUCUUUCUCAACUUUAGCUAUUUCAGCAACAUAACAUAAAUAAAAAGGUCGUACCCAGUGCACAAGGCUCCCGCUUUACGCAGGGUCUGGGAGAGGUGAAUGUCGGCUAGCCUUACCCCCAUUUUAUGGAGAGGCUGCUCCCAAGUCUCGAACCCGAGACCUACCGCUCAUGGGCGAAGACACUUGCCAUCGCACCAAGUGCGACCUCUAGCAACAUAACAUAAAUAAAAAGAUCGUACCCAGUGCACAAGGCUCCCGCUUUACGCAGGGUCUGGGAGAGGUGAACGUCGGCUAGCCUUACCCCCAUUUUAUGAAGAGGCUGGAACAUAACAUAAAUAAAUAAACAAAAUUAAUUUAACUAUAAUUAACUAAUAUGAUUUAAGAUUAAUCAAAAAACUUGGAAAUCUGCUUGAAUCCAAUCUCAAAAUUGAAAACGAACACUUCACUUUUACAAAAGUUGUACAAAGCAAAAAAAAAAAAACAGACAAAUCAAAGUCUCACAAAGGGCCACAACGACAGCAAAAUUGCAACAGAAAGAGGAAAAAUGUUCAAUCAAACCAUUGGAUAACUCUUCUAAGGCAGCCAAAAAAAAACCCACAAAUUCAAAACCACAAAAAUCCAAUCUAAAACAUCGAUUCACAGACUGAGAUGCACAAAAUGAUAUAUUAACAAAUCCAAAACGAAAUACAAAAAUUAAGAACCAACAAGCAAAAAAAUACUGAUUAUCCCCUGCAUACGUGAGCACACGUUCAAAAAGCCUCUCAAAGGCUGAGAUUCAACUUUCAAACAUAAAGACUUUAAGCCACAAUUGUUCUUUCUUAACUUUAGCUACUUCAGUUACAUAAUCGGAAAAAAAAAAUUAUUUAAUUAUAGUUAACUAAUCUGGGUUAAGAUUAAUAAAAAAGCUUGGAAAUUUCAGAUCUAAAAUCACACCUCAGGCUGCAAGUAGAAUCAAAACCAUGGAAUUUCAAAAUCACUGACCUUAAACACACAGGUCUUCGCAGGCUUCAAAGAAAAGUCACAAACUCGAAAAACCCAAUCUCCUGAAAUCGAAAACAAAACCAAAUUAACCAUCAUCACCUAGAAUCCGAAGCUACAAAACAAAAUUCCCAAAAUCAAAACCAAAAAAUUUGAACAAAAAACUCAUUUAAUAUCCAAAUUUACACUCCCAAGCACAUAACAUUCAAAGCAGACAAUUACCCAAAUCAAAUCGACAGCAGGAGAUGCAAUCUUUUAUGGGCUUCAAAUUUUCUUCAAACCGAGACCAAAUUCGCUAGUUUUCAGCAAGAGAGCGUUGCCGUUUGUAACCCCCGAUGAAAAGAUCCAAACAAAUUUGACUAACAGUAGACAGAGAGAGAGAGAGAUAGAGAGAGAGAGGUGAAAAUUACUCGCUGGUGACGAAGCUAAUGAAUUCGGAGACGCAUUCCUGGACGGUGUUCGACUGAUCGGCACGAGUAGAGACACCAGAUCAGAAAGACAGAAAAAUUAGGGUUUGGGAGAUAAAGAAACUGGGGCAGAGAGAGAGGGAAAGAGAAGCAGAAAAGAGGAUAAUUUUAUGCAUUUUUUUUAGCCGCUUUGAAUUUUUUUUGGCCGACAGGCAUUUGCGUCCGAUUAUUUUUGUCGAAGCCGGUGACACCAAAACCGGCCUCCGGCUUUCGGACCAGGAUUGUCUGCCCCUUCAUUUUCCCUGCCAUGU
rnacentral:lncRNA from 1 species